rnacentral:lncRNA from 1 species
GAGGAACUAAUGCAAGAGAGCCAAGUAGCUGAGAGCUAGUGAGUAAGAGAGAAAACCAAGUGUGAGAGAGUUCACAAGUGCAUCAAAAGUGUUGAGCAAGGGGUGUGAGAGAAACAGAUUGUGAAGGUAGUGUUCUAAAGAGGGUUUUUUAUUGGUAAACCAAAGUUGUAAUCUAUCUUUAUUAGUGAAAUUUUUCAGGGAGAUCACCAAAGAGGAUGUAGGCAAAUUACUGAACCUCUAUAAAUUGUUGUGUCCUUUGUGCUUGGUUAUUUCUCUCUGUGUGUGUGAGUGUUUGACACAUUCAUUGUGUGUUUGUCUAAAGUCCGUUCAUCAACAACAAGAUUAUUGGGAGUUUUCUGCACAACAGUAAUUCUGAUGAUAACUUGUUUCAGGUUCUACUUUUUUUAUGAUUUAACCCAUAGAAGCUCAAAUUCCAGCCAUUAUAAUCAUGUGGGACAUAUGAAACAAUGUUUGAGGAUUGAAAAUAUAGUUUCCAAAUUAUGUAGCAGAAACUGAAAUUUAGGGUCAACUACAUACUGCGAGUAUCGAUCUACACAUGUGCACAUCGAUCCGCCUACCCAUUGUAGCUUCCUGGCUGUUUUUUGUUUGUUGCCAAGUCCAAGCAUGGAAGGAUCGCAUAAGCAUCUAACUUAUAUUUAAUCACAAUUAGAUGACAUUUCCCAUGUUGUCACAAGAGCAUCCAAAUUGUAUUUUAUUACAAUUUAUGUCAUUUCCCGCCUUGUCAGCUCUCUCAUUGUUCAUCUAUUUGAGCUAUUUGAAUGAAAUGGGUUUGAUGAUUGUAUUUUGUGAAGAAUUCAAUAGUGAGAGCGAUAUAUAUGGCCUUUAG